GUAUGAAGGAAGUGGGGGGAGGAAGGAAGGAAGAGAGGGAGUGAGAGAAAGUGACAGGAAAGCACGAAGGAAGGGAGGAAGGAAGUCAGGAGGGCAGAAUGGAAAGAAGGAAGUAAAGGAAGAGAGUAAAGACUGUAGGGAGGGACAAAGGCAGGCAGGAAGGAAGGCAGGCAGGCAGAGAGGAAGGGAGGAAGAAAGGAAAGGAAGGGGGGGGAGGGAGGUAGGUAUGAAGAGAGGGAGUGAGAGAAAGUGACAGGAAAGUACGAAGGAAGGGAGGGAGGAAGUAAAGGAAGAGAGUAAAGACUGGAGGGAGGGAGGAAGGCAUGGGGGGAGGGAGGAAGGCAGGAAGGAAGGCAGGCAGGCAGAGAAGGAGGGAGGGAGGAAGAAAGGAAAGGAAGGGGGGGAGAAUGGGAGGGAGGUAGGUAUGAAGGAAGUGGGGGAGGAAGGAAGGAAGAGAGGGAGUGAGAGAAAGUGACAGGAAAGCACGAAGGAAGGAAGGAAGGAAGUCAGGAGGGCAGAAUGGAAAGAAGGAAGUAAAGGAAGAGAGUAAAGACUGUAGGGAGGGAGGAAGGCAGGC
rnacentral:lncRNA from 1 species